GACGAACGCUGGCGGCGUGCUUAACACAUGCAAGUCGAACGGAAAGGCCCAGCUUGCUGGGUGCUCGAGUGGCGAACGGGUGAGUAACACGUGGGUGAUCUGCCUCUAACUUCGGGAUAAGCUUGGGAAACUGGGUCUAAUACCGGAUAGGACAAUCGUUUAGUGUCGGUUGUGGAAAGUUUUUUCGGUUAGGGAUGAGCCCGCGGCCUAUCAGCUUGUUGGUGGGGUAAUGGCCUACCAAGGCGUCGACGGGUAGCCGGCCUGAGAGGGUGGACGGCCACAUUGGGACUGGGAUACGGCCCAGACUCCUACGGGAGGCAGCAGUGGGGAAUAUUGCACAAUGGGCGCAAGCCUGAUGCAGCGACGCCGCGUGGGGGAUGACGGCCUUCGGGUUGUAAACCUCUUUCGACAGGGACGAAGCUUUGGUGACGGUACCUGUAGAAGAAGCACCGGCUAACUACGUG
rnacentral:rRNA from 1 species